rnacentral:rRNA from 1 species
UACGGGGGGGGCAAGCGUUGUUCGGAAUUACUGGGCGUAAAGGGCUCGUAGGCGGCCAACUAAGUCAGACGUGAAAUCCCUCGGCUUAACCGGGGAACUGCGUCUGAUACUGGUUGGCUUGAAUCCGGGAGAGGGAUGUGGAAUUCCAGGUGUAGCGGUGAAAUGCGUAGAUAUCUGGAGGAACACCGGUGGCGAAGGCGGCAUCCUGGACCGGUAUUGACACUGAGGCGCGAAAGCCAGGGGAGCAAACGGG